rnacentral:misc_RNA from 1 species
UUGAAUAAACCUGAUGGGUUGUCGCUGGCUUUUUAGGGAGCAUGUGCACGCCUGUCAUCUUUAUAUUUCCACCUGUGCACCUUUUGUAGAUCUGGAUAACUCUCGAGGUUAAACUCGGAUGGGAGUGCUGCUUUUAGCUUCACUCCAAUUUCCAGGUCUAUGUUUUCAUACACCCCAUAGUAUGUAACAGAAUGUAUCAAAGGGCCUUUGUGCCUAUAAAUAUUAUA